rnacentral:rRNA from 1 species
GAUGAACGCUGGCGGCGUGCUUAACACAUGCAAGUCGAACGGUGAAGGCGGAGCUUGCUCUGCUGGAUCAGUGGCGAACGGGUGAGUAACACGUGAGCAAUCUGCCCCUGACUCUGGGAUAAGCGCUGGAAACGGCGUCUAAUACUGGAUACGAGCUGCGAAGGCAUCUUCAGCAGCUGGAAAGAACUUCGGUCAGGGAUGAGCUCGCGGCCUAUCAGCUUGUUGGUGAGGUAACGGCUCACCAAGGCGUCGACGGGUAGCCGGCCUGAGAGGGUGACCGGCCCAAGGGGGACUGAGCCACGCCCCAGAUCCCCCGGGGGGGAAGCGGUGGGAAAUAUUACAAAAGGGGGAAAAGCCUGGAGCAGCAACCCCGGGGGGGGGACGACGGCUUUGGGGUUAUAAACCUUUUUUGGCGGGAAAGAAGGGAAAGGGACGGUACCUGCAAAAAAAGCCCCGGCAAACUAGGG